rnacentral:rRNA from 1 species
GAUGAACGCUGGCGGCGUGCCUAAUACAUGCAAGUCGAGCGAACAGACGAGGAGCUUGCUCCUCUUACGUUAGCGGCGGACGGGUGAGUAACACGUGGAUAACCUACCUAUAAGACUGGGAUAACUUCGGGAAACCGGAGCUCAUACCGGAUAAUAUAUUGAACCGCAUGGUUCAAUAGUGAAAGACGGUUUUGCUGUCACUUAUAGAUGGAUCCGCGCCGCAUUAGCUAGUUGGUAAGGUAACGGCUUACCAAGGCAACGAUGCGUAGCCGACCUGAGAGGGUGAUCGGCCACACUGGAACUGAGACACGGUCCAGACUCCUACGGGAGGCAGCAGUAGGGAAUCUUCCGCAAUGGGCGAAAGCCUGACGGAGCAACGCCGCGUGAGUGAUGAAGGUCUUCGGAUCGUAAAACUCUGUUAUUAGGGAAGAACAAAUGUGUAAGUAACUAUGCACGUCUUGACGGUACCUAAUCAGAAAGCCACGGCUAACUACGUG